rnacentral:misc_RNA from 1 species
GGAAGUAAAAGUGUAACAAGGUUUCCGUAGGUGAACCUGCGGAAGGAUCAUUAUUGUAUAACCGAGGUGCGAGGGCUGUCGCUGACCCGAAAGGUCGUGCACGCCCGAGUGCCCUCACACACAUCCAUCUCACCCCUAUGUGCACCACCGCGUGGGUCCCCCUUUGGCUUGUUCGGAGGGGGGCUUACGUUUUCACACAAACUUUGUAUGCAGUGUAGAAUGUAUUUUUUGUUUUUGCGAUCACGCAAUCAGUACAACUUUCAACAACGGAUCUCUUGGCUCUC